GGGGCAGUAGCUCAGUGGUAGAGCAGGUCAGUUUUUGAAUUAUCUGAAAAGGUCAACAAAAACUUACUUCUUACACUUUUGAUGUCCAUGUCGCGGGUUCGAAUCCCGCCUGCUCCA
rnacentral:tRNA from 1 species